CCGAUUUUGUUACCCAGAACUAAAACGACUGCUGAAUAACCGUGUUAGGUCACGUUACCAGAUAAAUUGUGCCGGUCAGAUGAAUUUGAAGACUCGUUUGUACAAUGCUGAAGAAAUAUAAAUUAGUCUGGACGAAAACUAGGACAACAAUUAUGAUGUUGAUAUUCUAAAUGCAAAAUUCGUAAGUUGGACGUAAAUGCUAUACGAAGAUGCUCGUGAUAGAAGUAUAAAAACGUAGACUACCCUCCAUACAACACUAUCUUGGUGUACUUUGUCACAGUUUUCAGAGCCACCAGAGAGGUCGUCAUAAAUUUUGGAACAACAAAAUCUAGAAGCGAACGGUACGUUGACUUUUGGACCCACCAAUAACACGAGCUGCAGCAGCCAACAAACGCGAGAGGGUCAAUACGCCUUUUUUUUCCUUACCGUCUCGUCUUGUGUCAGUCUUCCAAGGGUUUCCGUUCCGCAAACUUGACUUCAUCCACGAGUCUGGACUUUCUUCUUUAUCGUUCGCCAGAGUUCGUCAAUCGUCUUCGUAUUCCAAAUCAAGACAUCGAGGAUGCAAGACACCAAUUGUUGCCCUGUUAAAAUACCAUCCAUCUCGGACCGAUUACAACUUCUAUUUGAAAACCCUUUACAUAUCCAAGAACUCAUCUUCAAAGAAAAAUGUCAACCUCUUCGGCAAGCGAUUGAUUUGAAGUACACACUUGAUCUACCUGUGCAAAACAACGUUAUCCAAAAUCAGUACAAAAUAGUGAGAAUAGAAAGGUUACUCUCCUUGUAUCGGUCUGGAGAACUUCAUCUUCGUGUGAUCAGCACCAGGAUUAGACCGAUGGUUUUCGCAGUGCCACUUGAUGAUACCAGAGAUUUCUCGCUUAUGAGUAGGGAUGCCUAUGCAACAUUAUUGCAAGAUUGGGAAAGUGCCCCUCCAGUAGUGAUUGAAGUAUUUAAUUCGCCGUUCACGUUCGAUCAUGGAUCGAGGUACUGCAUUCUGGUCUACGACCUGAUUGUUCGUGGCUGGGAACUAGUUGGGUGCCUUUCACCACUUAUUUCAGAUAAAAUGGACACACGUCAUGUUCCUGAUCCGGCGAUUCGCCUGAUGGAGUAUUUUAGGAAAAACUUGGCUCUUUGUUCAAAGCAGAAUUUAACCAACGUAACAAAGUUCACCACGACGAGAAAACCACUGGAAGGAAACGUCGGCAGAAGAAACUAUACAACCUUAAGUGGCCAACUGCCCGUCCAAUUCCCAGUCCUUUUAGAAUGUCAUCCAGCCCGAGAAAACAGAUGUUAAACAAGAUUUUAUCUUUGUUAUAUUGUUGUACUUGGAACUCUUUGUCAGAAAUGUAUGGAAUCAAAUACAGCAAUCACAUGGCACUUGUAAAGAAUUUCAAGUUUAACUUUGAAAUACGAAACUACCUGUUUUAUUGUUUGUUCUCCUAU